AGGUAAAAAUACUUACCACUAUAUUACAACAACUUGUUUGUGAAAUUCAAUGGUAAUUUUAAAUAAUAAAUGUUUUAAUAUUACCGAUAGCAUUUGAUUAUAUUUUUGUUUUAAAGUUACAUUUGAUUAUAUCGCUAUCGGCUAUAAUGUAAGUCAUAUUCAUCCAAUAUCAUGCAACUUUUUUGUAUAGAUAUAUUAAUAUUACUCGAUAAUCAUCAAGUCGUUGUAGUAUAGUGGUAAGUAUUCCCGCC
rnacentral:pre_miRNA from 1 species